ACGCGGCUCCCCCCGGCUCCUCCAUCCCGGCGAGAAGGGCCAGAAGCUGCGGGUCAGGCUGGAUCCGGCGCGAGACCGUGAUCGUGACCCCGAGCACUUCCCCUACGACUGCGGGUCGGAGAACGCGAGGCUGGCGAGUACAGGCUUAUGCUAAGGCAAGGGCAUUUCUCCAGCACACACCCAGCCUGCAGCCGAGAACAGAUGCGGAUUAAACCACUGCGGGGGAUGAUGUUCAAAGUGAAUGACUGACACUGACGGAUUCCCAAGUAUUCAUUUCUUUUCAACAUUUCUGAAAAGUAAACCGGCCCCCUCAUCCUCUCGCCCCUUCCCAUGAUUUGCAUGAAAACGGAGGACCAGAUGGAUCAAAUGAUUUAGCUUCUAUCCUCCGGGGGUCAGCCGGACAACCAGGACAAGAAGUCAUUAACUCAUUAAAACUGGGAACCGUGGUGACUCUAAGUCUAUUUAUGACGGGCAUUUCAAGCAGGUAAUAAUUUGAAUACCUUGUAAAAGGAAACAUUGAAGGUAAAAACAGGCGCGUCUAAAAGCAAAACUUUUUAUUAUUUACAAUAUAAAGGUUACAAAGGUAUAUAUGUACUUAUAUGUAUAUUGCCCUUAAGUCACGAAUUUUCAUUGUAAUGUACAAUGCUCUAUUUAAUAUGCAACUCAAGGAAAGUGUUGUCUUAAGUAUCCAUAUUUAUAGUGUUCGCUUAAAGCUUUCCUGGGAUUGAUUGUUAAGAACACAAUACUGCCCUGUUUAACAUUUUUGAUUUGGUGACCUAGACCAGCCCAGAAGAUCCAAGACGAGAGGAAAGAAGUCUUAUUUGAAUACAGAACAGAGCUUUAUAAAGACUUUUUAAAAAGGAUGUACUUUUGAUUCUUCCUAGCAGUAUUACAAUCUUCUAAGUCUUAAUAUUUAAAAAUCAUUAGGAACAGUAUAGGAAGAGAGGGAGAAGAGGAAAAGGAUGCAGGAGAAAAAAGAGAGAGGGCAGACAGAAUUUGCACAGAUGUUAGCCAAAACAGGCCAUUGCGGGUAGUGGUUUUACACAGGUUAUUUUCCCAAAGUCCCCGGAACAAUGGUCCUGAAAAGAAUAGCUUUUGCUUCUCAUGCUGUAUUCAUUGUGGUGUAAACUUAACACUGGUACCAUUUAUUACAGCUUCCAAAAUGGCUCUUUCCACAGAGCAGAUUUGCUAAGGGAAACAAUAGAUGAUGCUAAAUGGGAAAUACAAUUUUAAAAUAGCUGUACUCCUACCUUUUAAUAGGGUUAACUACAUAAAGAGGAAAAAUGUAACUGGAUCCAUUUAAACAGAAAAUGGAUAAACGAUAUCAAGUUUUCCAGGCUUUGGAUUGCAUACAGAUCCCAAUUAUAUAUAGUAAAGAACACCAGGAUGGUCAAAGGUGUGUCUAAUGUAAGGGGCAAGACAUUAAUGCAAUGAUCAGUUUUCAUGUACAGUUCUAGCACACCUGGAAAUAAAGGUUAGUUAAGGACCAAUGUGACUUUCAAGUGCUAUACCAAGAACAGGAAUAUUUUUUUCCAAAUACACCCGAAGCUCAUCCAAUUAAAAAUCUAAUUUAUAUUAUGAGGUCAGAGGAAAAACCUAUUUUUAACUUAAGGCAUUUUGUAUGGAAAAGGGCUUUGGUUGAAUGAAAAAUUUUUUGAUAAAUUAAAAAAUUUUCUUCUCUCUUUUCUCAAGUACAUUCCAUGUUCUGGGACCAUGUCUCCAGUAGUUGCUUUAAAAAUAAAAAUUAAAGAAAAAAGGAUAUUUCUCUAAGUUUCCCAAUGUCUUCAUUUUGAUCAACCACUAAGGAAGCAUUUUUUAUGCAAAUAAGAGCUAUUGAAAGAGACGUCAGUCUGGGAAUUCAUGUAACAGCA